rnacentral:lncRNA from 13 species
CCAAGCUGCUUUUCCCACUCCCACAAGCUGCCAAAAGGGUGACCCCAAGCCCGUUCUCAGUUCUCUGUGAGGAUGACAUCCAUGUUGCUCUUCCCCUCAGCUGAGUGGACAAAGCCCUUUGACUCAGCUGCCACCAGCCCAAAGGAGGUCUUCGUACACAAGCACAGGACUGUGUGGGUGUCCAUGAUGAAGGAGAAGGCCAGCCACCACUUCCUGCAUGACCCUGAGCUGUGGGGCUCUGUGCUGCAGAUGGACCAUGCUGGGAACACCACCACCUUCUUCAUCUUCCCCAAUAGGGGCAAGGUCACUCAUAAGGCCAUGAUGACUUUGGAUAAGAAGGACUCUGAAGCUGCUGCAGCCACCAGAGUCCAGCUCACCCCAGGGCCUCGCCCAGACCUUGACUUCCCACCCUCUUCAGGCACUGAGUUCAAUCGGCCCUUCCUAAUGAUGACUUUCCACAUGGAAAUGGGAAGCAUGCUUUUUCUGGGGAAUAUUGUCAAGCCACUGGGAUAAUGCUCUUUCCGGCAUGCUGGGCGACUCAAAGGGAAGAGAAUGGCCUACACAACAGGGAACUUCUAUUGCAGGCUCAAGUUUAAUGAGAAGUUACAUAUACCUGGGUUUUUUGCUUGGUUUUCACAGGAACCUAUGGGGAUGAGGAUAGUAACAUUGAACAGGGCUGUUCUGCACACAGUUAGCAGCUACCACUGAGCAAACACCUCCUGGGCAGCAAAUGCUUUCUAUCUCUUAUCUCACUUUAAAAUGAAUUACCACAACAAUCUAACAAAAUAAGUGUUUGGUUGAACCAUAUGAAAUUGCUUACGUUUCAGUUGCACCUAUAUUUUGUAGAUACAAAAAAAAGGCAACUUCUUAUGAUCCAACCCUUACCAUAGCUGAGGAUCAGAGAAUUUUAUAGACGUGCUCAGGCUCACUGAGCUAGAAAGCAGGCGAGCUCCAUUCCAGUCUUAUCCAUUUUGCUAAAUUAAUGAAUCUCAAACUUUACAGUAUGUACAAAUUCCCUGUGGAUCUUUUUAUAAAGCAAAUUUUAAUUCAAUAGGUCUGGGAUGGGGCCUGAGGUCCCAUAUUUCUUAUAAGGUCCCGGUGAUGCCAAGGCUGCUGGUAGGGUGGCCACACAUUGAACAACAGGUUGCUAAACUCACUUGGCCCCAUAAUCCCCAGAGAGGUUAAGCUGGUGUGGCCAGCAGCGCAGAGGCGUGACACUGGCCCCUUAAUCCACGUGCGGAGUUGAGAAAAAUAUGAGUGACACCUUUUUGAAGCCUACAGACAAAGUUUGCUUUAGGGUCACUUAUUAAUGAGUAGACUGGGGAAAACAAGUAUCCUAAAUAAAGAUGUUUUGCCCAGUCUGGACA